CCUUUGCAAUCAGUCUCUAUUUUAGUUUCCAACGUCGAAAUUGGAAACGGUCUCGAAGAGUUUUGUGCAUCUAUCUUUUUCAAGGAAGCCAAGUCUCCAGACUACUCCAAGGACUAGGAGGUCAUCCAUGAGCAACCUGGCAUGAGGAUUUUACUCACAUGGGCAUGAAAAUUGAAGCUCGGGUGCUACCCCCAUUUCAAGGCAACUAAGACCGCUUGACACUGUUGAGCUACCCGUGCUGCUGUUGAUGCAGGAUACGUUCCUAAGGAGCUGCAUGUAACAUUAAUGAUGGUUUUUUUUUUUUUUUUUCUUUCAUUCUUGAAGAAUAUAUUCAUUUCUAUAUUAUUUUGUAAUGACAGCAUAUGAUGAAUCACAUCCUUGAACCUUUUAUAAUUAGUCUUACAUUUAGAUUUUCUUUUAUUUAUUCUCCUGCGAUUGAAAUAUGAUUUGCUUUUCUGGUUUAUAAAGGGAUUUAUGAUGCAAUGUCAAAAAAAAUUCUUCAGUAUUUAGUUUAUUGGCAACGUAAUGGAAUGUGGGUUUAUAUUUCUACGAGUUUGAUAGUUAUUACAUCUUAUUAGGUAUGUUUCUUCUUAGAAGCGCUGCAAUAUUUGUAAAAGAAAAGCAGAAGAAUUAGGGGCAUAUUAUGUGGAGGGUGAAUUGCUUGCCUGAGGGAUGCAAUGAAAGAUGAUGUGAGGACUUGCGAUGAUGGAGUUGUAUAACUAUUGUGCUGCAUGUAUAGGGAUGAGCAACCAAGGAUAUGAGAUCACAUACUUUCGAUCAAUUUUUGAAAAGUUGAUUGGUUAACCAAUCUAUUGUAUUUUGGAUAAUAAGCAGCUCAUAAUGUAGAUAGAAAAAUAUGGAGAUAUUUGUACCUAGCUACUUUAUAUUAUUUUGGUUGUAGCAUACCAAGAGCCCUGACCCUUUUGUUCAAAUGGUAUGUGU